rnacentral:rRNA from 1 species
UGGGCUUGACAUGCACGGAUUAGCCGGCGGAAACGUCGGUAAGGCCGCAAGGUACAACGUGCACAGGUGCUGCAUGGCUGUCGUCAGCUCGUGUCGUGAGAUGUUGGGUUAAGUCCCGUAACGAGCGAAACCCCUGUGAUUAGUUGCCAACAGGUCAUGCUGGGGACUCUAAUCAGACCGCCGGCGUGAAGCCGGAGGAAGGCGGGGACGACGUCAAGUCCUCAUGGCCCUUAUGCCCAGGG